rnacentral:lncRNA from 1 species
UAUCAACCUUCUCAGUUGCUGUUAGUAGCACGGGAACUCCAGAUGGUUGCAAAUCUACAGAUGCAUGAGGCAAUGAAACAGUAUCUUCAGUGGGCUUCAAUGGGACAGGUUUAUCAACCUUCUCAGUUGCUGUUAGUAGCACGGGAACUCCAGAUGGUUGCGAAUCUACAGAUGCAUGAGGCAAUGAAACAUUAUCUUCAGUGGGCUUCAAUGGAACAGUGUUAACCACAUGUGGCACAGUGUUAACAGAUUUUGGGAAAACAGUGUCGUUUGCAUAAAUUGGCACCAGAACUUUCUUAGGUCGGCCUCUCCCUCUCGCCAUAGCACCCUCAGCGCAGGUUAACCUACAUACGCAGAGGUAGUAGAGAAGAAGAAGAUGAAGCAG